GAGCAAGAAAAAGAUGAUAAUGAAGAUGAGGCUAUUGUCUUUCUUGAUGAUGAUAGUAAAGGCAAAAAGUGGAGCAAGAAACGAAAAAGAGAUAAAAUUGUGCAAACUGGUUGCAAAGCUAAGAUGAUUGUGAAGGUAAUAGAUGGCAGAUGGGAAGUGAUCUACUUUGUUAGCGAGCACAACCAUCCGUUGGUUGACAAACCAUGUUUGACUAAGUAUUUGCGAUCACACCAAGGGAUCCCGCCGGAAGAAAGGGCCUUCCUUACUCAUCUUCAUAACUGCAAUUUAACUACAGGUCGUAUGAUGCACAUCAUGUCAGAUUUCUAUGGGACAGAACUCAUUGUACCUUAUGGCACUAAACACAUUACAAACCUCAAGACGCUCUUGAACAAGGAUGAUACAAAAGAAGGGGAUAUGAUAGAGACAGUUGCUUACUUUAAAGAUCAGCAG
rnacentral:rRNA from 1 species